AUAGCGGGGUAGAGUAAUUGGUCGACUCGUCAGGCCCAUGACCUGAAGACUGCAGGUUCGAACCCUGCCCCCGCCU
rnacentral:tRNA from 1 species